rnacentral:rRNA from 1 species
GUGAGGAAUAUUGCGCAAUGGAGGCAACUCUGACGCAGCCAUGCCGCGUGCAGGAAGAAGGCGCUACGCGUUGUAAACUGCUUUUAACCGGGAAGAAACCCCAGGACGUGUCCUGGGUUGACGGUACCGGAGGAAUAAGCACCGGCUAACUUCGUGCCAGCAGCCGCGGUAAUACGAAGGGUGCAAGCGUUAUCUGGAUUCAUUGGGUUUAAAGGGUGCGUAGGCGGAGCGUUAAGUCAGUGGUGAAAUCCUGCAGCUUAACUGUAGACUUGCCAUUGAUACUGGCGCUCUUGAGUGCGCUUGAAGUGGGCGGAAUGUGCCGUGUAGCGGUGAAAUGCUUAGAUAUGGCACAGAACACCAAUUGCGAAGGCAGCUCACUAAGGCGAUACUGACGCUGAGGCACGAAAGCGUGGGGAUCGAACAGGAUUAGAUACCCCAGUAGUCC